AUUGAACGCUGGCGGCAGGCCUAACACAUGCAAGUCGAGCGAGCGGCGGACGGGUGAGUAAUGUCUGGGACACUGCCUGUUGGAGGGGGAUAACUACUGGAAACGGUAGCUAAUACCGCAUACCAUCAGAUGUGCCCAGAUGGGAUUAGCUAGUAGGUGGGUUAACGGCUCACCUAGGCGACGAUCACUAGCUGGUCUGAGAGGAUGACCAGCCACACGGGAAGUGAGACACGGGCACGACUCCUACGGGAGGCAGCAGUGGGGAAUAUUGCACAAUGGGCGCAAGCAUGAUGCAGCCAUGCCGCGUGUGUGAAGAAGGCCUUCGGGUUGUAAAGCACUUUCAGCGGGGAGGCGUUACCCGCAGAAGAAGCACCGGCUAACUCCGUGCCAGCAGCCGCGGUAAUAC
rnacentral:rRNA from 1 species